UAAGUUAUAAAAUAAAGGUUGUCCGAGCCCUAGCUUCCUCAUCGCCGAUUCCCUUGUUCUCGCGAGCUCCUGCACCCGCCGGCCUCUCCUCCUCUCCCGAGCCCUCACCUCCUCCGUCGAACUCCUUUCUCCCGACCUCCUCUCCCUCGCCGAACCACUUCUCCCCAAGCUAAGUCGUUGAUCUCUCCCUCACGCGAGCACCAGCCGACCUUUCUCCCUCGCACGAGCAGCGAGACACCGACGUUGCCAGCCAUCGACACCGCCGGCCAUGGGAGAUCGGUAGCCGUCAAGUUUCUCCCUUACAUGACUCUGCUCGAUGGUCGAUUGCGCUGGCAGCACUUGCUAGCCACUGCCCCUUUCUCCAAGCUUCUUCUUUCUUCUCCUAAGUUUUUUCCAGCCGUGCCCUAGCUUUGAUUUGUCGCCGGGAGGGUGGAGUUGAUGAAGGGGGGCGAUGACAAACUCCUCACCUCGCUUGCGGAUCCGAGCAAGCCAACGUAGAUUCUAUCAAUGAGGUACAUCUCCUCCUCUUCACCGGAUCUAGAUCAAAGCCGGCUGUUUUCUCCUUGCCUGUCUAAUGGCAACUUCGAAUCCGCUUCACUAAAUUCCCUUUUAUUCUAUUACCGACCAGACACAGCCACAUCUGUGAAUCGUCGUCGCUGCCCUUCCUUUCAGUGGACAAUGGGCUACUAUUCGGGUAGAGAUAGUGAAGAAGCAGUGAACCUCCGGUAAAAUUAAGGAAGUUGCUGGAUCAGCCGUUGCAACUUCGACCUUGUUUCCGGCAACAGCUUCGUAGUAGCUUCAACAAUGAAUUUCCAGUAGUAAGUUUCUCCGGCGGCUGGUUAACAACAAUGCAAUCAGAUUUGGAUAAGUCAUAGAGGACUUCGAUUCGAGACGAGCGUCUCGAAGUGGGAUUUAUUUGGUACAAUCUACGUAUAAAG